GUCACCAAAAACCAAAGAGUUGUUUGACGCCAUUCAUUUAAUUUUCUCCAGUUUUGGUCUAUGUUGAAUUUUGAAGAAAAGGAACGUCGUUACUGUAAUUUUCAUAUGAGCGGAAAACCCAAAGCUAAGCCAGAGGAUCAUCCCAGAUCUCCAACUUCAUCGUUCAAAUCACCCUUUUUUUCAACUUCGAAGUCGAAAUUGCUUCCAUUGAAGCUCCAAAAUCCAUAUGGUGAUGGCUACAAUCAUCUGUAGUAUUGAUUGUUUUGGUAUCAGUAAUUGACUAGUUACUACACAGUCCGUUUCCCCCUCAUUUUUCAUCAAUUCUGUUUCGUUUUACUUUUUACACGAACAGAAACAGUUGCAAAGUAGUGGAAGAAGAGAGUGAUGAUAAUACUAUGGCGGCAACGACAAGGCCGGGGGUUCUCAAGUCCGAAGCUGUUUCCAAAGGCUAUAAUUUCGCUUCUACUUGGGAACAGAAUGCUCUGUUAACAGAGCAACAAUCAGCAGCCAUACAAGCACUUUCCCAUGCAGUUGCCGAGAGACCUUUCCCGUCCAAUUUGGACCAAGUUUCUGGACAUGAUAACAGCCUCUCUGUUUCAACAAAGCUUAGUUCUCUAGAGGAUUCAGGGGCCAUUGAAGCAGUCCUAGUGAAUACAAAUCAGUUUUAUAAGUGGUUCGCGGAUCUUGAAGCAGCCAUGAAAUUAGAGUCUGAAGAAAAAUAUCAGCAUUAUGCCAGCACCUUAACAGAGCAGAUUCAGACCUGCGAUAGUAUACUUCACCAGGUGGAUGAAACACUUGACUUGUUCAAUGAGUUGCAAUUGCAGCAUCAAGCAGUGGCAACAAAGACAAGAACUCUUCAUGAUGCGUGCGAUAGACUGCUUUUGGAGAAGCAGAAAAUAAUUGAGUUUGCAGAAUCACUUCACAAUAAGCUCAAUUACUUUGAUGAAUUGGAGAAUGUAAGAUAUGUAGAGAGUAGUAACCCACAAUAUGCAGAGUGCAGCAUUUAUUUGGUCAAGUUUCGACAACUUCAGUCUCGAGCUCUGGGAAUGAUUCGCACUCACGUUCUUUCCGUUCUUAGAAGCACUUCUUCUCAGGUUCAGGCUGCAAUAAGAAGCAGCGGUGGUAACAAGACAUCUUUUGCCGAGGGUAUAGAGCCAUCUAUAAUAUAUGUACGAUUCAAGGCUGCAGCAAAUGAGCUUAAGCCUAUCCUGGAGGAAAUUGAAAGCAGAACACCUAGAAAAGAGUAUAUUCAACUUCUUGAAGAAUGCCACAAACUCUAUUGCGAACAGCGCCUUUCCUUGAUAAGAGGUAUAGUGCAACAGCGGAUCUCUGAAUUUUCUAGGAAAGAAGCAUUGUCGUCUUUAACUAGAUCUGGAUGUGCAUAUUUAAUGCAGGUGUGUCAGCUGGAGCAUCAACUCUUCAAUCACUUCUUUCCAUCAUCUUCAGAGGACAUUUCGAGUUUGACUCCUCUUGUAGAUCCUCUGUGUACUUUCCUCUAUGAUACAUCGCGUCCUAAACUUAUUCACGAAACAAACCUGGAUGUUCUUUGUGAACUGGUUAAUAUCCUCAAAGUUGAAGUUCUAGGAGAACAGCUGAGCAGACGGAGGAAGUCAUUGGCUGGGUUACCUCCAACGCUAGACAGGAUUCUAGCUAAUGUUCAUGAACGAUUAACUUUUCGUGCUCGCACCUAUAUCCGUGAUGAGAUUGCAAAUUAUCUUCCUUCAGACGAGGAUCUGGGAUUACCCUAAGAAGUUGGAGCAAUCUGUUUCAGCAGAACUGGAUUCACCAUCUAAGUUUGCAUUCUCUUGUGAAGGUUGCAGUUUGAUAUAUGGAGGUUCUGUAAAUCAAUAUCUUGCUCAAGGGUGUGAACUGACUAUUCUUGACCUGUGAUUCUAGUUGGAUGCAUAUAUUCCAUUUUUAUAUUUGUGCAGGACUAAUAUAUUAGAAGCACACGUUUAGGUGCUAUCCCUUCUGAAAAAAGAAUAUACACCUGAGGAUAGACAAGACCUUGUCAAGAUGGUUUCAAUGCAGGAUUUGGAAACAAAACUUGAUAAGCUUCUGUAACGAGCUUCCGUUAUAGAAACUUACAUUAAGUGGUUAUCACAAUUCAUAAAACUUCCAAUAAGCUCCCAAAAUAGUUAUUUCUUCAACUUCGACUUCUGUGAUACUAGAACUUAUCGUGGUGGAGGUUCUGGGAACUUUGUGGCAUGGAGGAAGGUUUUAACCCAGUUCAAUUCAUAUACAUCGAUCCUACGGUGAUUAUAGAUUAUACAUGUAAAGCUUUAUUGAAGGAACAACUUAAAGUUUUGGCUUCUGGAUUUAUCGUCAUCUGAAGAAUCAUCAAUGCAUCACUCUUGUUUCUGUGGUAACAUUCAGUUUACGAUGGUAGUUAGUAAGUAAAUUGAAAGGCUUUGCGCCAUUGGUGUCAGAUUUUGGGUUUUCAAAUUUCUUGUUGUACCCUAGAUUUUACCGCUGCUUGAUUAGUUUUACUACUCCCAUCCUGUUCCAUUUUACUUUGAUUGUCAUAGUUGACUUGACACAACUUAAUUCAAAAAUGAAAGCAUUGAUCUUAAACAUAUUA